CCCUGUAGCUCAGUUGGUAGAGCAUGGUGUUUGCAAUGCCAGGGUUGUGGGUUUGAUUCCCACAGGGG
rnacentral:tRNA from 1 species